rnacentral:tRNA from 1 species
GGAGUCGUAGUUCAGUUGGUUAGAACGCCUGACUGUCACUCAGGAGGUCGCGAGUUCGAGUCUCGUCGAUUCCGCCA